CUGCGAAGGGGCUCCGGCCCCGACCGCUCACCCUUUGUUGACCAAACACCUGUUGCCUCGGGGGCGACCCGGACGCCGACGCGUCGGCGUCGGGACCCCCGACGGACCCUUCAAACUCUGUGUCUGUACGUCGGAGUACUUGAUGAAUCAAUCA
rnacentral:misc_RNA from 1 species